AUCAUAGUUAAACAUCUUUUUCUGGUAACAACUCUUUAUAUCACAUUUUCCUGUUCAGAUGACCAGCGCAGUUUCUGUCUCCUGAUUGGAACCAGAUGACAGGAGUUGUCCUGGGAGACAGACCAUCCGAUUUGGAGAGGUUCUGGCUGUGACCUCAGGCGUGAACACAUUGCUGAGUGUUGUAGUCAGGGUUUGCGAGGUAAUAGAUUUAAUACAGGACAUAUAAUUUACGGGACUAUUUUAUAAUAGUCACCCAAAAAGUUGAAUGCUGAGGAGUGCCAGAGAUCUGUCCACACCCUAGAGACUCGAAGAAUCCAGCCAAGGGCUUGGAUCCCACAGCAAUGUCUCAUGCUUGUCCGUAUCAAGGAUCGGGACCCAGAAGACCCAAAGGCCAGUGGUGGAGGCCAGAAAGCCUGUGCCACUGGUGAAGGACCUGUUCCACCAGGCUGAGGGACCUGCACUGGAGCCAGGAAGCACUGCUCAAAGCGAAGACUAGAGCUCCCCUGCCGAGAGCAGCCACCACUCCCAGCAACAGCAAGGACCUGAGCUCCUCCAACAACGAGAACAGCCAAGUUCCCCUUAGGAAAACCAGCCGAGCCAAGCUUCUCCAAGAAAAUUGACAGCCGAAGAUCUUCCCCUCCUGUUCUUUUGAUGCAGUUGGCAACAAUCCUCAGCCUCCCAGAGUGCUAGAAUUACAGAUGUGUGUCACUGCGCCCAGCGAGGAUCUCUUACUUCUUGUACCUGUACAGCCCAUAUUGCUGAAGCUCAAACACCAAACCCAAGUCCACAUACGUGAUCACAGUGUCAGCUGAAUUCCAACCCUUGCUAGUUUCCUCACUUGAAAGUUAGGGCCUUGAAAGAAAGACCAGAACCCUGAACUCACAGAGGAGGCUCAGACCUGGAACCUCCCAGGUCACCCAAAACCUCCUCUCCUGCUGCCACAAAUGGCAGUGGCCGAGAGGACGGCACCCUGCAUUUGGGGACCCUCUCCUGAGCCCACCUGCAGCAGAUCCCCCAGGUUCCCUCCCCCUCGGUGGCCUCCACAGCCCCCUCUGCUGCAAGACCAGUGGUAGGUGUCAACCUGGGGUCCAGGUGCAGGGUGUGACGGCAGGAAACAGCUCAUGGCAGAGACUUGGGAGUUUUUUGUGAAGGGCCAAAGAGGAUGCAUUUUAGACUCUGUAGGACACUAAAGGCCUCUG
rnacentral:lncRNA from 1 species